CGAAACCUCGACUCUCCGGCGUCCGUUCCAAUUCCAUGGCCAAACAACUUUUCAGUUCGGCCACCACUUGGUUCAUCGUCGGUCUUCUUGCAGAGUUCCCAGAUACACAACUUAACGCCACCUCCACUGCCUUCCAAACUGAGUCUGCAGCUGAUUAUCUCCAACAGAGCCACUCCAAAGCUGUACACAUCGCUUUUCUCCGUCAGCCUGUUCGAUAAGUAGUAGCUGAAAGACAAGCCAUGAGGUUAAAUUUAUUAGGGUUUCGAAAAUACUAAAUAGGAUCUUCUACUUUGAUAUCAUGUUGGGUCACUGUAGAAUUUAUUGUUUCGUUGGUUCAUAUUCUUUAAUCUAAGAUGCAAAAGAGAUCAUAUUGACUUGGAAAUUGGGAGGGAGUGAAUCAAAUUUGGAUCCUGUUCUUACUCUGGAUCAAGGUAACCAGGGGUGCCAGCAACAAUGGUGGACAUGUAGUUGUUAGUCUUGUUGCCAUCUACUGGGAAGCUUUUGGAUAAACCAAAAUCUGCAAGUUUGGCUUGGAAAUUCUCUGUCAAUAAGAUGUUUGUUGUUUUCACAUCUCUGUGGAUUAUGGGUGGUUUGCAACCGUCGUGCAGUUGCAGGUGAAUUUACAAUAAUUUCAUUGACCAAGGGAUAUACAUUAAAAGGUUUUUGUAUGGAUGAUUCUUUUUCAAGCGUGUUUAUGAUUGAUGAUCCAUCCCCGACAAAGUAUGAAUUCUAACCCUUUUUUAUAAUGUAUUGCGUCAGGGAUGACCAUAUCUAUGGUAGUCCUAACACGAUAGCUAUCUCUAUCGCGAUUUCUAAUUUUUCUAUCCAAAAAAAACAAAGUGUGAGAAAAAUUAAGGAAAACACAACAAAUUAACGGUACACAUUCUAAUGUAUCGUGUUAGGAAUGACCAUGUGUAGCUCGAAUGCGAUCUAUCUCUAUUACGAACUUAUUUUUCUCACCCAAAAUACAACAAACUUUGAGAAAAAAAAUAAGGAAAACGCAAUAGAAAAAUGGAGAUCGCAAUAGAGAUGAUCAUCGCGUUAGUGCUACAUAGAUAUGGUCACCUCUAGCGUGAUACAUUAUAUAUAUAUAAAAAAAAAAAAAAAAACAGUAGUGGGAUGUGACGUAAACAAAAGCAAUUUGAAAAUGGUCACUCGUAAAAAAAAACUCUAUACAUUAAUAUCUUUUGAUGUUUAUGAAAAAAAAAAUGAAGUUUUGUUAAUGGUAUUUGUAGUUUUGCAAAAUUAAAUUUAUUUAAUAGUUAUUAUGAUUUUCCCCCAAUAAUUUGGGGUUGAAAUUCAAAUGUUUUUGUUUUAAUAUAAUUGGGGCAGGUAUAUUCGAACCACAAAUCCAUGAUUACUAACACUUAUAUACUAAUUGAGUUAUGCUUGAUUUAGAUGAAAUUGGAACCUUAAGAAUAAGAAUAAUGUAUAAUCUUUAAUUAUUGUAUUUUAGAUGACGAUCACUUCUAAUUUCUAGAAGCUUAAAUGUUAUGUUGUUUAUUAUUAUUGGCUUUAUAUUUUGAUUAAAAUUUACCCCAGUUUAGAAAAAUCACCUAGUUAAGUUAUGGAUAGGUACAAUUAAAGAAACACGGGGUGUUUGGAGAGCUGAAUUAGUUACUAUAGUCAGUAGUGUCUAUGGGUUAUAAUAGUCUGUAUGUAAGGGAGUGCUUAGGUCCCCAACUUUAAGUCGGUGGGAGUGGGCUAUAAUUAUAGCCCACUCCAAGUUCAGGGGUCCAAUAGUAAUAGUUGGUGUUACCAAUUGUUAUAACUUACAAUUAAUUAUAAUAUUACUAUUUUAAAUCACUCUUUAUUAUAGUGUUUAUAAUUUUUAUUAUAGUGUUUACUAUUUCUUACUUAUAAUUUCUCUCUUUUUGUUAACGUGUUUAUUAUUUCUUAUCCAGACUAAAAUAGUCUGCAUCUCAAAUACAAACUAUUAUAACCCAUUUAUUAUAAUAAGACUGUAAUAACCAACUUAGUUCCAAACACCUCCAUGGUUAUAAUAGUCUGUGUUUGAAGCAAAAACUAUUUUAGUUUAGGUAGAAAAUAGUAAACAUUGUAAUAGCAGAAAAUAGUAAACACUAACAAAUAGUAAACAUAUGAUAACAAAGAGGGGAUUUGAAAUAGUAAAUAACAUAGUUAUAUGUAGGUUAUACUAGUUAGAAGGGAUUAUUAAAGAUUCAAUCCAUUUUGAAAAUUAUUUUAAAAAAUGUCCAAAUAAUUGGAUAUUUUCAUAUAAGGGAUUUAAUGAAAUUUUUGGACCAAAAUAACCCUUAGGUCGGUUGGAUAGAAAAUAUGCAUUGAAAAAAUCUUUUCAUAUUUACAAAGUACCUUUAAUAUUGGAGAGAGAAAUUGCAUUUAUUGUAGACUAUUAAUUAGUUGAGAUUUUCUUCCCAUUUUCAAUCGGAGAGAGAAUACAUUUAAGAUGAAACUUCUCUAAGUUAAAUAAAUCUUUGGAAAGUAAAAAUGGAGAGGUUUUAAGAUUGAGUUGACAUGAAUUAAAAGUGCAGAAAAUAAAAUAGGUUGAGAAAGAUACACGAGAUUACCUUCGUCGAUUAAGAUGAUGUCGAUUCCUAAAUUAACUAAGUAUUGCCACGCAAGCUUGUUCACUUAGCUAAUUGCAUUGAGUAGUUGGAUUGAUUAGAACAUUAGAUUAAAUUGGCCAAAUCUAACCUAACACAUUUUUAUUCCCUAGGCAGUUUAUCUAUCGUUAUUGGGUGAUCCUAGAAAAGCUAGCAAUCAAAACUAUAACUAUAAUUAAAAUUAAUCAUGCUAUUGAUACAAUUACGAAUAACAGAAAACUCAUAAACAUUUCAAGAAAAAUCUCAUUAAACCAUAAAAAGUGUCCAACAAACCUCAAACGAUGUUUGGGCCUUUAAUAGUUCGUCAAUAUAUGAAUCUUGAUGCCAAAAUAACGAUUAUAGAGCAAAACAUGAAGAAAUCUCUAGGGUUUUGGCCAAGAAAGACCAAAGCCGAGCCUAAAGGUAUAAAAAUUGGUUAAUCUCUCAUCCCUUUAACCUAAAUUCAAAGCAAAUUAUUUAUAGACAAGGCAAAACGUUGCAACACUAAAGGAUUUUUUAUGUCGCAGCGUCUGGAGUUUGUAGCGUCGUAGUGCUGAUGGCAACGUUGCAACGCUGGCCUGUUAUUUCCACUACUUCCUUUCAGCAUAGCAAUGCAAUGUAGAGGUAGAGUCGUGACGCUUUGAGCGAUGUGAUGCCUCUGCCAAUGAGCGUAGCUCUACACCAAUGGAGGGUUGCAAUACAACACAGGGGCAUUUUGGUCAUUUGGCCUCUAAUUCCCAGUUGAUGCAAUUAACCUCCAAUUUGGCUCGUUUUAGCUUCAUUUCGCUACUAAUGUCCCAUUUUAUCCCUUAAAUUCUCAAAACCUAGAAAAUAGCAAAAUAAACACAUAAAAUCCUAGGAUAAUCUCAAAUUAAGUGGAGUUAUAUAGCACAUUUAUCAAGCGACAAGAGCAAUUCAAAUGAUGGUGGAUGGCGAGAACUUCUAGAUUGGUGAUUUCAAACAAACGAUGGCAACACCCAUGAUGUAGUUUAGAGAACGACAUGGAGAUUCAGAGAGGCUUGUCAAACGACGACAAUUGCUAGGUUGGUGCGAUCUCACCAAAAUCGAAGGUUGAUUGCGCCGCUUGUUUGAAAUCAGCAACAAAUAGACUCCGACGAAAGACACAAUGGGAUGAAGACGAGAGGGUUCUUGCGCAUGCAAUCCAAGAAGAACCAAGGCGAAACUUCCUCUUCUACUUUUUGUAACCUUAAACAUACAAAAUAUAUACUGUGAUUUACAUAUUCGUUUAUUUUAUAUAAAUGA